rnacentral:lncRNA from 1 species
UUUAGAGCUGGAUGGAAUUAUGGAAGUCAUUGAGCCCACAUCUUCCCUCCUUUUACAGAUGAAGAAGCAGAGGCACAGAGAGCUUAAGCUACGUGCUCAGGGGUGAAUGACUAGUCUCUGAUGGGGUAUUUGAAUCUGCAUCUUCCCAUCCCCAAGACCAAUGUUUUAUCCACUCUGCCACAUGUGUGAUGAAAGCUCGCAAGGUACUGUGCUAAGCUUUGGUAAUCCAAAGAAAGAGGAAAACAAUGCUUACCCUCAAGUAGUUCAUCUCUGAAUGGAGGAGAAAUCAUGUAAGUAAUUAGAUACAUGAAAAAUGUGUACAUGUAAAUGGAAAGUAAUCUCAGAGAGAAGGCAUAGAGGGCAGGAGUGAUGUGGGACAAUUGCCUCUUGAGAAAGUGAGCUUGGAGCUGAGUUCUGAAGAAAUCUAGGGAAGCUAAGAGAUGAUACUAAAGAAGGAAAACAUUCAAGGCAUGGUUUGAAGGCACAAAAAGAGAAGAUGGGGUGCCAUGUGCUUGGUACAGCAAGAAGGCCAGGAUACUUGGAUCACAGAGUGCAUGGAGGGAAGUUAAUUUUUUUAUUUUUUUCCAAAUUAUAGAAAAUUUUAUUUAAUUAAUUUAGAAUAUUUUUCCAUGGUUACAAGAUUGAUGUUAAGUAUAAGAUUGUAAAGGCAGGAAGUAACGAGGCUGUGAAGGAUUUUCAAUGUCAAUUGCUCCUGUGAUUUUAUAAGGUGGGUUACUCUUGUGUCUCAACUGAAGGCUUUAGGACAGGGCUCAGCUGAGAUUCCAACUUGGUCUCCUUGGACUCUAGUCUGUCUAUUUCUAGAGGUGCACUCAACAUUAGGUAGCUGUGUACC